rnacentral:rRNA from 1 species
UACAGAGGUGGCAAGCGUUGUUCGGAAUUACUGGGCGUAAAGGGCGCGUAGGCGGCCUUCUAAGUCAGACGUGAAAUCCCCCGGCUUAACCUGGGAACUGCGUCUGAUACUGGAAGGCUUGAGUGCGGGAGAGGGAUGUGGAAUUCCAGGUGUAGCGGUGAAAUGCGUAGAUAUCUGGAGGAACACCGGUGGCGAAGGCGACAUCCUGGACCGACACUGACGCUGAGGCGCGAAAUCUAGGGUAGCAAACUGG